AGUCUUCCCAGGCCCACCACUUUCAUCGAGUGAGCAUUCGUCUUCUGGUUACGGGGCCAUAGCUCAGCUGGGAGAGCGCGUGCUUUGCAAGCAUGAGGUCGUCGGUUCGAUCCCGUCUGGCUCCACCAGAUGGUUUGAUCACCAACGGCGUAACCGUCGUCCGCGAAACAUCACUUCGCACUCAUUGGUCCGGAUGGACGGUGACGUGCGUGUUUUCUGACAUCGUAAAGAGGAGAUCGAUCCGAGUUUGGAUCAAGCGAAGCAAUUCGCCUGAACCAUUCACUAUCUCCGGGAUCAUUUCGGCGCUCGCUUCAUUCGUGAGAUUGAAUGCGGGUUGUAAAUGAUCUCUGUUAGCGAAGCUUGACCGCCUCGCUAUCGGGCCGAUCUUACGAAGCAAGCUGGUCUUUCUAGUCAAUGUCCGGCUGCGCAAUCGCAUUCAUCGAGGAUGCGCGCCUGAGACUUCGGUCUUUGGGCAGUUGUGCAGACAACAUUCUGCCGAGUGUGUGGACAUUGAUAAUGAGAGCAAUCAAGUGCCUUAAGGGUGUUCGGUGGAUGCCUUGGCGCUGAGAGGCGAUGAAGGACGUGCUACGCUGCGAUAAGCCGUGGGGAGCUGCGAAGAAGCUUUGAUCCGCGGAUUUCCGAAUGGGAAA
rnacentral:misc_RNA from 1 species